rnacentral:rRNA from 1 species
GAUGAACGCUAGCGGGAGGCUUAACACAUGCAAGUCGAGGGGCAGCACGGGAUAGCAAUAUUCUGGUGGCGACCGGCGCACGGGUGAGUAACACGUAUGCAACCUACCUCGUACAGGGGGAUAACCCGGAGAAAUUCGGACUAAUAUCCCAUAAUGAUAUUGAGAGGCAUCUUUUAAUAUUUAAAGCUCAGGCGGUACGGGAUGGGCAUGCGGAACAUUAGCUAGUUGGCAGGGUAACGGCCUACCAAGGCUGCGAUGUUUAGGGGACCUGAGAGGGUUAUCCCCCACACUGGUACUGAGACACGGACCAGACUCCUACGGGAGGCAGCAGUGAGGAAUAUUGGUCAAUGGGCGCAAGCCUGAACCAGCCAUCCCGCGUGAAGGAAGAAGGCGCUAUGCGUUGUAAACUUCUUUUCCAGGGGGAGAAUUUUUCCGUCGUGACGGGAAUUGACGGUACUCUGGGAAUAAGCAUCGGCUAACUCCGUGCCAGCAGCCGCGGUAAAACGUAG